rnacentral:misc_RNA from 1 species
UUUCCGUAGGUGAACCUGCGGAAGGAUCAUUAAAGAGUAAGGGUCUUCGGGCCCGUUCUCCAACCCUUUGUUUAACUACCAUGUUGCUUUGGCGGGCCCGUCUCACGACCGCCGGAAGUUUGGCUUCGACCAAACUUCUGGCCCGUGCCCGUCAGUGGCCACUUCAAAUUCUUGAUCAAGUAUGAUGUCUUAGUUGAAAACUUAAUAGUUAAAACUUUCAACAACGGAUCUCUUGGUUCUG